rnacentral:rRNA from 1 species
GGGUGAGUAAUACAUAAGUAACCUGGCAUCUACAGGGGGAUAACUGAUGGAAACGUCAGCUAAGACCGCAUAGGUGUAGAGAUCGCAUGAACUCUAUAUGAAAAGUGCUACGGGACUGGUAGAUGAUGGACUUAUGGCGCAUUAGCUUGUUGGUAGGGUAACGGCCUACCAAGGCGACGAUGCGUAGCCGACCUGAGAGGGUGACCGGCCACACUGGGACUGAGACACGGCCCAGACUCCUACGGGAGGCAGCAGUAGGGAAUUUUCGGCAAUGGGGGAAACCCUGACCGAGCAACGCCGCGUGAAGGAAGAAGUAAUUCGUUAUGUAAACUUCUGUCAUAGAGGAAGAACGGUGGAUAUAGGGAAUGAUAUCCAAGUGACGGUACUCUAUAAGAAAGCUACGGCUAACUACGUGCCAGCAGCCGCGGUAAUACGUAGGUGGCGAGCGUUAUCCGGAAUUAUUGGGCGUAAAGAGGGAGCAGGCGGCACUAAGGGUCUGUGGUGAAAGAUCGAAGCUUAACUUCGGUAAGCCAUGGAAACCGUAGAGCUAGAGUGUGUGAGAGGAUCGUGGAAUUCCAUGUGUAGCGAUGAAAUGCGUAGAUAUAUGGAGGAACACCAGUGGCGAAGGCGACGAUCUGGCGCAUAACUGACGCUCAGUCCCGAAAGCGUGGGGAGCAAAUAGGAUUAGAUACCCUAGUAGUCCACGCCGUAAACGAUGAGUACUAAGUGUUGGGGGUCAAACCUCAGUGCUGCAG